rnacentral:rRNA from 1 species
CGGCAAACGGGUGAGUAAUAUCUGGGGAUCUACCUAAAAGAGGGGGAUAACUACUAGAAAUGGUAGCUAAUACCGCAUAAUGUUGAAAAACCAAAAUGGGGGAUCUAUUAAUAAUAGACCUCAUGCUUUUAUAUGAACCCAGACGAGAUUAGCUUGUUGGUAGAGUAAUAGCCUACCAAGGCGACGAUCUCUAGCUGGUCUGAGAGGAUAACCAGCCACACUGGAACUGAGACACGGUCCAG